rnacentral:rRNA from 1 species
AUGAACGCUGGCGGCGUGCCUAAUACAUGCAAGUCGAGCGAACGGACGAGAAGCUUGCUUCUCUGAUGUUAGCGGCGGACGGGUGAGUAACACGUGGAUAACCUACCUAUAAGACUGGGAUAACUUGGGAAACCGGAGCUAAUACCGGAUAAUAUUUUGAACCGCAUGGUUCAAAAGUGAAAGACGGUCUUGCUGUCACUUAUAGAUGGAUCCGCGCUGCAUUAGCUAGUUGGUAAGGUAACGGCUUACCAAGGCAACGAUGCAUAGCCGACCUGAGAGGGUGAUCGGCCACACUGGAACUGAGACACGGUCCAGACUCCUACGGGAGGCAGCAGUAGGGAAUCUUCCGCAAUGGGCGAAAGCCUGACGGAGCAACGCCGCGUGAGUGAUGAAGGUCUUCGGAUCGUAAAACUCUGUUAUUAGGGAAGAACAUAUGUGUAAGUAACUGUGCACAUCUUGACGGUACCUAAUCAGAAAGCCACGGCUAACUACGUG